AUCGUAGCAUAGCGAUUCGGUCUCCGAUAUGGAGUGAAAAGGGAAUCUGGUGCAAAGCCAGAACUGACGCGCAGCGGUAAUAGGAUCAAGGAUAAUAAAAGACACUGCAAUGCACCAAAAUCAGUGCUGUGGGAAGUCAUUAUCUUAAAUGCUCAGAGUAUUUAACCUAGAGUCCGAAGACCUGCCGAACAUUUGUCGCAUGUA
rnacentral:ncRNA from 1 species